UUCAACUGUGAAGGGGGCAACUGACAACCUGCUUUCAAGAAACUUUUUUCUGCUGAGAGCUUUUCCUUUUCACGUAAUGAGUUCUACUCCACUGACUCUUCAAUGUCUGCAUGCCUAUUUCUUUGGUGGUGAGAAAAGAACCUGAACCUAACUGAGCUAGGGAACAAAAAAUCCUGCAUCAUUGUUUUAUAACAUUCUUCUUUCUUUGGACCCAGGCUCACUGCUGGUAUUAGAAAGUUCUCAAGGCUACCUUAUCCUUCUUGGUUCCUCUCUCGUCUCCUUCUCCCCAGCUCAACCAGGUGUGGUGGCUCAUGCACUUUGGGAGGCCAAGGCGGGCAGAUCACUGGAGGUCACGUUUGAGACCAGCCUGGCCAACAUGGUGAAACCCCAUCUCUACCAAAAAUACAAAAAUUAGCCAGGCGUGGUGGCCCGUGCCUGUAAUCCCAGCUACUUGGGAGGCUGAGGCAUGAGAAUCACUUGAACAUGGGAGGUGGAGGUUGCAGUGAGCGGAGAUCUGCCACUGCGCUCCAGCCUGGGCAACAGAGCGAGAUUCCAACUCAAAAAAAAAAAAAAAAGAAGAAGAAGAAGAAGACUGUGAAUUAACUCAUAAUUCCAGUGCUCUGAAUCUUUG
rnacentral:lncRNA from 1 species